UACGUAGGGGGCAAGCGUUGUCCGGAAUCACUGGGCGUAAAGCGCACGCAGGCGGUCAUCUACGUCUGGGGUGAAAGCCCGGAGCUCAACUCCGGGAUUGCCUUGGAUACGGGAUGACUUGAGGAUCGGAGAGGCAAGGGGAAUUCCACGUGUAGCGGUGAAAUGCGUAGAGAUGUGGAGGAACACCUGUGGCGAAGGCGCCUUGCUGGCCGAUUUCUGACGCUGAGGCGCGAAAGCGUGGGGAGCAAACAGG
rnacentral:rRNA from 1 species